rnacentral:rRNA from 1 species
UGGGGAAUUUUGGACAAUGGGGGCAACCCUGAUCCAGCCAUGCCGCGUGAGUGAAGAAGGCCUUCGGGUUGUAAAGCUCUUUCGGUGGGAACGAAACGGUUACGGCUAAUAUCCGUGACUCCUGACGGUACCUGCAGAAGAAGCACCGGCUAACUACGUGCCAGCAGCCGCGGUAAUACGUAGGGUGCGAGCGUUAAUCGGAAUUACUGGGCGUAAAAGCGUGCGCAGGCGGCGCGUUAAGACAGGUGUGAAAGCCCCGAGCUUAACUUGGGAAUUGCGCUUGUGACUGGCGAGCUGGAGUGUGGCAGAGGGAGGUGGAAUUCCACGUGUAGCAGUGAAAUGCGUAGAGAUGUGGAGGAACACCGAUGGCGAAGGCAGCCUCCUGGGCCAGCACUGACGCUCAUGCACGAAAGCGUGGGGAGCAAACAGG